CUGCUCAAUGAUUUUUUAAAUUGCUGUGGUAUUUUGACUAUACAAAGGUAUUGUAAUAAGAUUUUAAUUGAAUGCUAAGAGAAUGGAAUUACAGGGAAUAACUAUUUAAAACUUAAAAAUUAAAAUUAUUUUAAUUUGUGAAGAAACAAUUAUUAAAAUUAAGGACAAGAAGACCCUAAGAAUUUUAAAAUAAUUAAUUUCUUAUAAGAAAUUAAUUAUUUUUAGUUGGGGCAACUAGAAAAUAUUAUAAACUUUUUAUAUAAUAAAAUGACCCAUUAUUAAUGAUUAUUUGAGAAAAAUACUCUAGGGAUAACAGCGUAAUAAUUUUUGAUAGAACCUAUAGACAAAAUAGUUUGCGACCUCGAUGUUGGAUUAGGAUACUUUUUUAAUGAAGAUGUUAAAAAAAAGAAGUUUGUUCAACUUUUAAAUUCCUACUUGAUCUGAGUUCAGACCGG
rnacentral:rRNA from 1 species